AAACAAAAUUACGAUCUUACUUUUGGACAUCCUUUAUUUAUCUUUUCUUUUUAGUAAACUUUUGGACAUCUAAGAGAUCAUUGUUUUGAGUACGCAUGGUGGUUUUAAGGCUCUAUUUUUUUCAAGUUUAAAUUCAUAUAUGGGAGGUGGAGCAACUUUCACACAGCAUUGAAGAACAACCCGAAAUGGAAGAUGUGUAAGAUUAUGUAUACGGUUACUGUCUUUCCCGAAAGGUAAAUAUGGGAGACUAUGUCCAGGAAUGAAUUAAAGAUAGUACAAAGUUAUGAAUGAAUUAAUCGUAACAAAUUGACAUAAGAUGCGUGAAAAUAAUAAAUCGCAUGUGCGAGAGCGGUAUUUCCUUAUGUGUCAUAUGAUACAUAAUGUAAUGUGAAUUAUAGAAGAAAAUUAUUGAAAGACGUAUUCCAUACAUUGUAAAGGAAGGCUAGUCUAUUAAUUAAGACAAUUUGCAGGUAUCUCCCAAGAGACAAUGCCCACUAGUCCUAAUUUUAAGAAUUUUAUUCCCACUAACAAAAUCAGAUUUUAAAAUUCCCAAAAGCUAAUUUAAACAGUAAAAAGAAAAAUAUACCCUUAAUGGAUUAAAUAAAAUACAAUAGACCAUUAUAAGAGCAGAAAUACAAUUAUAACCUUAAUAAAUUAAAUAAACUAUAAUAGACUGUCUAUUAUAAAAUAAAGUUUUUAUGACCGGAUUCUCACGACCAAUGACAUUGACCGGACUCCGGCAAUCUUUGACCGGGCUUCGGGGAUCGUUGACCGGGCUCCUAAGAUAGUUGACCAACUUUGGGGGCCGUUGACCAGGCUCCCGCGACCGUUGACCGGACUCCGAGGGCCUUUGAUCGAGCUCCGGCGACCGUUGACGGGAAUCCGGGGGCAGAUGACCAGACUCCGGAGACCGUUGACCGGGCUCCGGUGAUCGUUGACCGGACUCUGACGACCGUUGACGGGACUCCGGGGGCAGUUGACCGGGCUCUGGCCACCGUUGACUGGACUCCGGGGGUCGUUGUGCUUUAAUCACUUAUAACAGGUCCUUAUUAGGGGCAAUAUGCCCAUCUAUUGAGGUCAGUAGGACCUCCUACUAGGGGCAAUAGGACCACUCCUACUUCUGUGUCAACUACCUCGCCGUCGUUGCCCUCAUCGUCGCCGUCUCCCUCUUCACCCACCCCUUCUCCCUCGUCGUCCUCCUCGGCCUCCGGUACAUUUUGUCAAUGAUGGUGUCAUCGGUGACAUCGCCAGAGAGAGAGAGAGAGAGAGAGAGAGAGAGAUGAGAGACUAAGAAGAAGAGG
rnacentral:lncRNA from 1 species